UACGGAGGGUGCGAGCGUUGUUCGGAAUCACUGGGCGUAAAGCGCACGUAGGCGGCUUUGUAAGUUAGAGGUGAAAGCCCGGGGCUCAACUCCGGAAUUGCCUUUAAGACUGCAUCGCUAGAAUUGUGGAGAGGUAAGUGGAAUUCCGAGUGUAGAGGUGAAAUUCGUAGAUAUUCGGAAGAACACCAGUGGCGAAGGCGACUUACUGGACACAUAUUGACGCUGAGGUGCGAAAGCGUGGGGAGCAAACAGG
rnacentral:rRNA from 1 species